rnacentral:rRNA from 1 species
GUAGGGGGCGAGCGUUAUCCGGAUUUAAUGGGUGUAAAGGGAGCGUAGACGGCAUGGCAAGUCUGGAGUGAAAGCCCGGGGCCCAACCCCGGGACUGCUCUGGAAACUGCCAUGCUAGAGUGCUGGAGAGGUAAGUGGAAUUCGUAGUGUAGCGGUGAAAUGCGUAGAUAUUAGGAAGAACACCAGUGGCGAAGGCAGCUUACUGGACAGUGACUGACGUUGAGGCUCGAAAGCGUGGGGAGCAAA